rnacentral:rRNA from 1 species
UACGUAGGGGGCAAGCGUUGUCCGGAUUUAUUGGGCGCAAAGAGCGUGUAGGCGGCUUGGUAGGUCUCGCGUCAAAACCUGAGGCUCAACCUCAGUUCGCGUGGGAAACCACCUAGCUAGAGUCCGGAAGAGGAGAACGGAAUUCCCAGUGUAGCGGUGAAAUGCGCAGAUAUUGGGAAGAACACCAGUGGCGAAGGCGGUUCUCUGGGACGGUACUGACGCUGAGACGCGAAAGCGUGGGGAGCGAACAGG